rnacentral:tRNA from 1 species
GUAGCGGUCGUCUAGCCUGGUCUAGGACGUCGCUCUGACGCGGCGAAGGUCCCCGGUUCAAAUCCGAGCCGGCCCACCA